UACGAAGGGGGCUAGCGUUACUCGGAUUGACUGGGCGUAAAGGGCGCGUAGGCGGUUCGUACAGUCAGACGUGAAAUUCCUGGGCUCAACCUGGGGGCUGCGUUUGAUACGUGCGGGCUUGAGUUCGGAAGAGGGUCGUGGAAUUCCCAGUGUAGAGGUGAAAUUCGUAGAUAUUGGGAAGAACACCGGUGGCGAAGGCGGCGACCUGGUCCGAUACUGACGCUGAGGCGCGAAAGCGUGGGUAGCGAACAGG
rnacentral:rRNA from 1 species